GAAAUGCGAUAAUUAAUGUGAAUUGCAGAAUUCAGUGAAUCAUCGAGUCUUUGAACGCACAUUGCGCCCCCUGGUAUUACGGGGGGCAUGCCUGUCCGAGCGUCAUUGCUGCCCUCAAGCACGGCUUGUGUGUUGGGCUUCCGUCCCUGGCAACGGGGACGGGCCCAAAAGGCAGUGGCGGCACCAUGUCUGGUCCUCGAGCGUAUGGGGCUUUGUCACCCGCUCCCGUAGGUCCAGCUGGCAGCUAGCCUCGCAACCAAUCUUUUUAACCAGGUUGACCUCGGAUCAGGUAGGGAUACCCGCUGAACUUAAGC
rnacentral:misc_RNA from 1 species